rnacentral:rRNA from 1 species
AUUGAACGCUGGCGGCAGGCUUAACACAUGCAAGUCGAGCGGAGAUGAGGUGCUUGCACCUUAUCUUAGCGGCGGACGGGUGAGUAAUGCUUAGGAAUCUGCCUAUUAGUGGGGGACAACAUUCCGAAAGGAAUGCUAAUACCGCAUACGUCCUACGGGAGAAAGCAGGGGAUCUUCGGACCUUGCGCUAAUAGAUGAGCCUAAGUCGGAUUAGCUAGUUGGUGGGGUAAAGGCCUACCAAGGCGACGAUCUGUAGCGGGUCUGAGAGGAUGAUCCGCAACACUGGGACGGAGACACGGCCCAGACUCCUACGGGAGGCAGCAGUGGGGAAUAUUGGACAAUGGGGGGAACCCUGAUCCAGCCAUGCCGCGUGUGUGAAGAAGGCCUUUUGGUUGUAAAGCACUUUAAGCGAGGAGGAGGCUCUCUUGGUUAAUACCUGAGAAGAGUGGACGUUACUCGCAGAAUAAGCACCGGCUAACUCUGUGCCAGCCGCCGCCGUAAAAC